rnacentral:rRNA from 1 species
CCCCAGUAGCGGCGAGCGAACGGGGAGCAGCCCGGAGUCUGAAUCAGCUUGUGUGUUAGUGGAACGGUCUGGAAAGUCCGACGGUACAGGGUGAUAGUCCCGUACACGAAAGCACACAUGCUGUGAACUCGAAGAGUAGGGCGGGACACGUGGUAUCCUGUCUGAAUAUGGGGGGACCAUCCUCCAAGGCUAAAUACUCCUGACUGACCGAUAGUGAACCAGUAC